GGGCAGCUGGGGGGGGGCUGGAGCAGGUUUUGGGGGCCCAGGAGGGGAUUUGGGGGUUUUCUCCCCCGCGUCCCUGCUGCGAUAAUUCGGAAGCGAGCCCGGCGAUACCACACGCGGUGACCCCGUUGUGUGCAGGAUGUGGCCGAGAUUUUGGGGCUUUUGGGGUGGAAAAAUAUCUUUUUUUUUUGGGGGGGGUGGAUUUGGGUCAAAAAAACGCCUCUUUGUGCAACGGGGCGAAGCCGAAGCCCAAUCCCUGCUCUGUCAUUUCCUUCCUGAGUGAUGAAACUCGCCCUUGAGCAAAACCCCCCCCUGCUCCCCGCGGGAGGAGGAUGAGGAUGAGGCUGAAGCUUCUCCUCCUGGUGGCAGGAGCCGUGGCAGCCCCCCAGCUCGCCCCGGCCCCGCUCGGCCUCGUCUCCGGCGCGGCGCGGAUCAGCUGCUUCGCCCCGCGGCGCUUCGCCGGCAGCACCUUCGAGCUCCUCGGCGCGGGCACCACGGGGCCGGUGCAGAGCCUCACGGCCCCCCCGGGCCAAAAUAAGGUGUCGGAGCUCAGCGCCGAGAUCGUGGUGAAUGCCUCGGAGGACGCCGCCUGCAUCCCCGACGUCACGCCCGCGCCUCCUCCUGCGCCCACCUCGGCGGCACAGCUGGGAGGUACGGGGACGGGGGGGUUAUAGGGACACGGGGGGGCUAUAGGGACAUGGGGGGACAUGGGGGGGCUAUGGGGACACGGCGGGGUUAUAGGGACAUUGGGGGGUCAUGGGGGGGCUAUCGGGGCAUUGGGGGGGCAUGGGGGGUCAUUGGGGACAUGGGGGGGCUGAGGGGACAUGGGGGGGGACGCGCUGGGUGCUCAGCUCCUCCACGAAAAAAAAAAAAAAAAAAAGGGGGGGGGGGUACGGGGACCGUUGCCAAAGGACCUCUUAGAGUCAUGACCACAAAAUGCAUGUUCCAUAAGGUAACAAAUUCGUAAUUAAUACAAUGAAGAGUGAAUUUCCGCACCUCAAGUUUGAUGUAGAAAACCAGAAUGAAAA
rnacentral:lncRNA from 1 species